GAUCUGGGGAGGGUGUGUUGGGGGCCCAGCUCUUAAAACGGGGCCCCACCCCUCACGGCUCCAUCCUCUCCGCCAGCCCCAUCUCUGAGCUGCCGCGUGUCGGCCACCCCAGUCCUGUCCCCUUGGCUUUCCCCAAUGGCCUGCUCCCUCGGCAGGGCGGCAGGGGACACUCCCGACUCUGUUGUCUCACUGCUCCUCAGGUUCCGCUGGUUGCUGGGUCCCGACAGGUUUUCCCCUCUAACUCCCUGCUCCCAUUCCCACCUCCAGCCUCCUCGUCUGAACCCCACCGCAGGCCUCCCUGCUCCUGCCCGGUGGCACUUACCUGUACCACUUAAGCCCUGCUCUCUCUAGGUGAACAAGCUGCGUUGGCCCCCCACCAGCUAUAUCCGGUUAACGCUUGAAAGGGUCAUGGCUCUCAUCUGACCUCCUUCAUGCUUGGGUCUCUGUUACCCGCCAGCCCGGGGCCUGCUCACCUCCGGCGCUGGAGGGCUCACUGUGGGGCAGCACUGCCCGUUCCGCUGCUGGGUGCUCCAUCCGUCCCCGCUCAGCCUCUGUCCACCAGCCUCCCUCCCCUGUCCCCUCUGGGCAGGGGGCAUCUGGUCCUGGAGCCCCCCCAGCUCCACGCUGUCCACCACCAAGGACCCUCACCUUCUGGGCAAAGCUGGUCACACCCACGCGCACCAGCAGGAGGCGGCCGGCUGGCUCCACGCCCCUGGCCCGCAGGUCCUGCAGGUCCUCCGGGCGCCCAUAGUGGGCGUACACCAGCUCUCCCUGGGGACACAGAGGACGGUGACCCGUGCUACCCGCCCUUCGAGAGAAGGGACCGCGCUGUCCCACACCCUGGCACGGGCAGGAGACACUCACCGUGGCGUUGCCCGUGGCGCUGUAGGGACAGUAGGCAUCGGGGUCCUCCAGCUGGAGCUGCUCCCCGGCUCUCCCGGCCGUGUCGACCCAGUGCAGGGUGUUGGGGUGCGCCCUGAGGAGUGGAGGUGGUGAGUGCCCCUGGCCGCGCGUGCACCCGCUGCACGCCCGCAUCCCCCACGCACUCACGGGUCCGGGAACUGCAGCCCCACGUAGUGCGUGUCAGUCCACACAUGGUCCAGCUUCUGGCGGGAGAGCGUGGCAAGGAUGUCCUGGGCCAGAGCAGCCAUCCCGGCUGAGCCGGCCACCCGUUCCCGACGGCUGGUCUGUCUGAGUGGGGAGAGGUGGCGUUAGGGCCUCGGAGGAGAUGGAGAGAAGAGGGAGGAUGCCAGAGACGGAGCUGCCCCAGGCCCGCGGCAGCCAAGGUGCAUCCGUUCUGCCCUGUGUGCCUCCGGCUGGCUGUUCUCCCUGCUGCACAGGACUUCACAGUGUGUACCACCGUUAUUCUCUGGACCCACUGAACAGGCGCCCCUCCCCCAGGUGCCGCAGGAACAUGGCCUGGAGGUCGCUCCAGUACAACGUGCCCUGGUGGAAGUCCAGGCCCUGCUCGUAGUUGACAUCGUCGCCGACCACCAGCACGGAGUCCCCGCAAGCCUGGCAGGUCCCUCGGAAG